ensembl:lncRNA
GGGAGGGGAUGGGCGAGAGGGAUGCGGAGAGCGGCCUGCGCUGAAUCUCACAUCUUGGUGCUGAAUGGGAAUCACUGACCAUUCCCACCCACAUUAGUAGAAGAUAUUUGGAUCUUGUUUUAUUUUAUUUUCUUUGCACGUCUCUCUGUGCCAAUAAUAGCGCAUCAAACCUGCGUGCACAGGGCCCUGGAAGCACUUUGAUGCUUCCAGGUGCCCAAGUGUCCUUGUGUAAGAUAUCGAACCCCAGAUUGCUCUCCGAUGCGUUCAUCAGAGUAUGAAUGUGUGUGUCUGUUAGAUAGACAGCACUUAAGUGUAGAAAAAUCGUGCUUGUAUGAGUGGGUAAAUGAAGCAUGUUGUGUAAAGCGCUUGGAGCGCUCAAGUGGAGUAGAAAAGUGCGAUAUAAGAAACAGUCCAUUUAUAAAGAUAUGUUAAGUAGCCCAAAAAGGCUGGAUUGGUUAUAAUGUAAGUACAAUAACACAGAGUCAUAAAGAUACUUGAAUCAGGUCACAGUUUGUUUACCAAAGCAAACAAAUAUAUCGUGCUUUAAAAAACACAAAAAACCCCACUGGAAAUCUUUUUUUUUUUUUUUUUUUUUUUUUUUUUUGGUAGUCACUCACUUUUUGGCACACCACGGGCAGUCCAGCUUUACAUGCUUUACAACACCCCAAAUACAAGUGUGGUGGUUAGUUAUCAGCUCCUGCACUUAGUCUGCUGCUUUAAGUAGUAAAAUUGUGUAUUUAAUAUUAGAUACAAGGACAAAUUACAAUCAAAUUAUUAUGUGAUUGUAUUGAACUGAUUAUAUAUGAUUACAUUGCACUGACCUUUGUUUAAGUACAAAUCAGUUUGGAUCAUUGACAAAAUAUACCUGAAUACUUUUUUUAUUCAACAAGUAGUAGAAAGUAACUCAGUACAUUUACUAAAGUAUUUUAAGGUUACUUAUGUAUAGCAGGACUCAAAUUUGUUUUUUUAAUCACCUGUUUCUAUCAUUAGGGCUUAGUCUGUGUGACAGCCUCAGCUCUUUACAGCAAAGCCCGUAUGUUUCUGUGAGCUAUCUGUAGAAUGAUAGGUCACAGAAUCAGGACCACUCUUGCACAUCUGAUCUAGUUCAUUCUUUCUCAUCAAGCAGAAGAAACAAUCUGCUUGCAUGAAAGUGGAUCAAGUGCAUUUUAUUACAUAUUAAUGUCUGUUAGAG